AACGAACGUUGGCGGCGCGCCUAACACAUGCAAGUCGCACGAGAAAGGGAGCAAUCCCCGGUACAGUGGCGCACGGGUGAGUAACACGUGGAUAAUCUUCCCUCGGGCGGGGGAUAACCUUCCGAAAGGAGGGCGUAAUACCGCAUAAGACCACGGCCAGUACGCUGGCUGAGGUCAAAGCAGGCCUCUUCAUGAAAGCUUGCACCUGAGGAUGAGUCCGCGGCCCAUCAGCUAGUUGGUAGUGUUAAAGACUACCAAGGCUAGGACGGGUAGCUGGUCUGAGAGGAUGAUCAGCCACACUGGAACUGAGACACGGUCCAGACUCCUACGGGAGGCAGCAGUGGGGAAUCUUGCGCAAUGGACGAAAGUCUGACGCAGCGACGCCGCGUGGGUGAUGAAGGCC
rnacentral:rRNA from 1 species